UAAAAUGCCAAAUAAAUCCAAAUUAAACCAAAAUCAUAUAAAAUAAAAUAAAAAAGGGAAUUCAAAUCCCACUCCUAAUCCCACGAUUAAAAUAAAACGCCCCUCCCCAUCACUCCCAUAAAUCUCUCCCCAAACCUAAACUACCAUUAGCCACCUUCUCUCUAUUAUAUAUUUUAUUUCCAAAUCAGAUUCUCUCCUAUCGUUCUCUUCAUUUUCUCAAGGUAAUCUCACAAAUUUCAUUCUAGUUUUCAUGAUUCAAACCAACUCAUUCAAUCUUCUUCUAGCAGAAACCGUGAACCAAACUUGAAAGACGGAGCUAUCGCGUGUUUUCUCAAAUUCUGUUCAAGGGUGAAUCAUCGUAUGUGAAUCGUGAUACCAAAGGGAAGAGAGAACUUGAGAUUUUAAGCAUUCGAGGUUGAGCGGUGACGAGCAGUUGGUGGUGUUGAGCAAUUUAAAAUUGAA